ACCUUUUCAGCUAUAACAGCAAGAAGGCAGACACACACAAACUUGUCCUAAAGUUUAGCUCUUCCAAUUGCAGUAGGAAGUUCUCUAAGACUUAGUUCGGGCAGAGACAAAAGCAGAAUUAAAGCAACUAAAAGCAGAUGUGAGCUUUCUGUAAGUCAAAGCAAAAUUCUGACUUAGUAAGAGAAUUGAUAAUGCAUGCAAAGUAGCAAGGAGGGUCAGACACAGACAUGCCAAAUGGCACAAGACAAGUUGUCCUGACAUGGAUUUUAGGAUUAGAGGCAUUUUAAGUUUAAUCCAGCAACCUGGGGCUUCCUAAUCAACCCACUCAAUCUUCCUGGGAGGCCUCUGAUCUACAGGGUUCGGAAAAUUAUCAGAGAACUAUUACAGUACAACAACAAAGCAGACAAGAGAGAAGUGGCUAGUUACUUAAACUUUUCAGCAGGUCUUUAUUCAGGAAAAAAGAAGGAAUAUAAAUUCAACCCAGUUUUGUCUGCUGCUCCAGCUCUGAGAACCAUCCUGCUUACUAAGAACAAGCUUCCUGAUGGCAGUUUGGCCAGGAGGGGACGAUCUGCUUUCCUGAUUAAGUAUCUCUGCUGAAGCAUUACUGCUUUCAGUGAUGACUGUCCUUUUUAAAAAUGACUAUGUUUUUGAGUCUCACCUUCCCUCAGGAAUGUAAUGGGCUUCUUAAGAAACUGGAGUUGCAAGAUUGCUGGGCCCGGCCACCAGAGAUUCUAAGACUGAGAAUUUGCAUGUUUUACAAAUUCUCAAGUGAGGUUGAUGCUGUUCUUUUGGAGACCACACUUUGAGAACCUUUGCCUGAGAAAACAAUUUGGAGAAAAAUGGAGCCAUCUGAAUACAGAAACCAUUUUUAUUUCUGCAUAUAGUUUGCCAUGAAUGAACUAAGUCAGCAUUUCUCUGAAGGCUCUUGGAGUCUUUGCAAGAAAAUUAUGACCUGAAGAAAUGAUUAAACGUAUAGACUUUUAUGCUAGGUUUGAUGAAGAAUGUAUAAAAAUGGAGAAAUAUGAUUAAAGAGUGUGAUCUAAUGGUAAUAAACCAGAGGGAAAUUUAGCAAGGACUGUUUGUUCACAUUCUUCCCUAUGACUGUUUGUCUUCAAAGAUAAGGACACUUGUUUUCUCUGGGUAUAAGAAGGGUGACUCUAAAAUGAGGGUCUAUGACCUGCUUCAGGGGAAGGUCAGAAAAUCCUUCUCAGGUUUUAGGACCUUUUUCAGAAAAGAAGAACAGGGGAAGGUGAGAGUGUCCUUCCUACUUCUACUGUUUUUUUCAGAUGCCAAGGUGCCAUAUAUUAGGGUACCACGUCCUGAACCCCAUCAGUGGGACUCCUAUGUCUCCCUGGAGUUCAUUGUCAUCAAGCCUUUCUGAGUUCAGGAAGCAGACUGGUUUCAUACGUACAUACAACCUACUUAUUCUAAGUCUCAGUUUCUUCCCAUUUAAGUGAUUAUUGCACAGCAUUUAGUAUGUGCCCAAGAAAAAACCUUAUGCCAUAUUAUUAUUGUUACUCUUUUAUUUCUAAAAUAUUCACUUUAUUUUGGAUAUCAAUUUAGUUAUUGUUAUCUUUCUGAGGAACAACUAUGAGAAUUUUUAUGAAAACAAGAUAAUAAUAGUACAGUUCACCCUUGAACAACACAGGUUAGAACUGCAAAGGUACAUUUAUAUGUGGAGUUUCUUCCAUCUGCCACCCCUGAAACAGCAAGACCAAACCCUGAUCUUCCUCCUUCUCUUCAGGCUACUAAAAGUGAAGACAGUGAGGAUAAUGACCAUAUGAUAUUCCUCUUCCAUUUAAUGAAUAGUAAAUAUAUUUUCUCUUCCUUAUUGUUUUCUUAAUAACAUUUUCUUUUUUCUAGUUGACGUUAUUGUGAGAAUACAGUAUAUAAUACACGCAACAUGCAAAAUAUGUGUUAAUCAACUUUUUAGGUUUUUGGUAAGGUUUCUGGUCAACAGUAGGCUCUUUGUAGUUAAGUUUUUGGGAAGUCAAAAGUUAAACAUGAAUUUUCAACUAUGAGAGAGGAUCAAUACCCAUAAUUCCAAGGGUCAACCGUGAUAAUACUAUCAGGUAAAAUUUUUUUAGAUAAGUAUGUGCCUAGUACUCUUCAAAGAACUUUACAUUUAAUCUUUACCAUGAUCAUGUAAAGGAAGUGCAAUUAUUAUCUUUAUUUUAUAGAUGUUAUAACUGAGGCAGCCCAUUCUCCCAUGGUUUUGAAGAGUUUUGCAGUAGACCUAGGACCCAAAUCUAGGACAUCUGACCCUUCUUUUUUUUUUUAUUAUUAUUAUACUUUAAUUCUAGGGUACAUGUGCACAACAUGCAGGUUUGUUACACAUAUAUACAUGUGCCGUGUUGGUUUGCUGCACCCAUUAACUUGUCAUUUACAUUAGGUGUUUCUCCUAAUGCUAUCCCUCCCUGAUCCCUCCACCCCAUGACAGGCCCGGGUGUGUGAUGUUCCCCUCCCUGUGUCCAAGUUUUCUCAUUGUUCAAUUCCCACCUGUGAGUGAGAACAUGUGGUGUCUGGUUUUCAGACAUCUGACCCUUCUAUACCGAGUGAGCUUCACUGAUAUUGCAUAGAGAUAAGAAAGUAGAGACCUUUCCCAAAGUGUUCUUUGCUGACUUGUUCAUCACUUAGCAAGUCUCAGGAGGAGUGGCCCUGUUAAAAUUUAUCAAUAGUAGUUAUACGCUAACAUAUCUUAUGCAUAAAUGAAAACAGAUGCAGUACAGAGACUGAAUUGCCUUCCCAAACCAUGGUGAGAUUCAGUAGUUUUAUUGGGCUCAGGAUAGCGUAAUAUCUGAGUGUAGAACGGGAAUAAAGAUUAUCUAGAUCUGAAUCUUGGCUCUGCCCUUUACCAUAAAUAUGACUGAGUUAGCUGCUUAAUUCCAAGCCGCUUAAUCUCUAUGAGGCUCAGUUGCCUCUUAAAAGGUAUAUUAAUGAUUUAUAUGUCUCAGUGUUUUUGCAAAAGAGUACACGAAGUGCUUAGUAAGUUUUCAAUAAAUGGAAGUUAUUAUCAUUAUCAUUAUUAUGCAUCUUGGAAGGCCCAGAAGAACUCUUAACGUGACAAUAGCUGCUGAUGACGCUAAAGAGAGAAACAAAGGAGAGCUUUUUCUUAUUUAUGCAUAUCAAACCUAAAAGUGUUAAUAAGGAGGCAGCAGGACAGCAAAAGAAAAAAAAUGAAACAGAGAAAGCAACAUAGCUGUAAGAAAGGAAUCUCAUUAUCAAACACAUGUAUUCAGGGAUUUUGAGUAUUUAUUUCAAAGUAAAAAGCGUUUUUUUUAUUGAAAAUAUUAGUAAACAAGUAAACAUUUAGGAGAGAUAAUGUAAUGCCCAAUGAAAACCUUCAAUAGUGCAACUAUAAGUAGUAGUCACUUGUUUUAGUUAUAUUAAUGUUAAUUUUGUAGUUUAAUAUGUCUUUCUAAAGACGACAUGGAUGGGUAUUUUUAAAAAAGUAUUUGUCAUGUUAUUUUAUUCUUUAGUAGAAUUUUACUAUUUGAUGGAUACAGCUUGAUGUCCAGUACUAUUUGACAUAAAACACAUUGAUGAGUCAUUAGGCUGAUCAUUGAAAUCCUGUUGAAAAAUAUUUUUAAAGUCACUUGUAAAUAAAAUAUACAAAUGUAAAACUGAACAACAUUCAUCAGCUAAAUUUAGUUUACAAUUUCUUUUAAACAUUUACUGGAAAGUCAAAAAUGUCAAGCAUAUUAAAAUGCUGGCCUGACAGAAGCCCUAAGGGAAAACUGUCAGGCCUCUGAGCCCAAGCUAAGCCAUCAUAUCCCCUGUGACCUGCACGUACACAUCCAGAUGGCCAGUUCCUGCCUUAACUGAUGACAUUCCACCACAAAAGAAGUGAAAAUGGUCUGUUCCUGCCUUAACUGAUGACAUUAUCUUGUGAAAUUCCUUCUCCUGGUUCAUCCUGGCUCAAAAGCUCCCCUACUGAGCGCCUUUUGACCCCCACACCUGCUCCCCCUUUGACUGUAAUUUUCCUUUACCUACCCAAAUCUUAUAAGACGGCCCUAUCCCUGUCUCCCUUGGCUGACUCUCUUUUCGGACUCAGCCCGCCUGCACCCAGGUGAAAUAAACAGCCUUGUUGCUCACACAAAGCCUGUUUGGUGGUCUCUUCACACAAACGCGCAUGAAAUUUGGUGCCAUGACUCGGAUCGGGGUACCUCCCUUGGGAGAUCAAUCCCCAGUCCUCCUGCUCUUUGCUCCGUGAGAAAGAUCUACCUAGGACCUCAGGUCCUCAGACUGACCAGCCCAAGGAACAUCUCACCAAUUUCAAAUCUGGACCCCACUGAAAAUCGGACUGUUCAACUCAUCUGGCAGCCACUCCCAGAGCCCCUGGAACUCUGGCCCAAGCCUCUCUGACUGACUCCUUCCCAGAUCUUCUCGGCUUAGCAGCUGAAGACUGACACUGCCCAAUCGCCUUGGAAGCCCCCUAGACCAUCACGGAUGCCGAGCUUCGAGUAACUCUCACAGUGGAGGGAACGCGCAUGAAAAAACCAAACAAACAAAAAAAUUUCUUUUGGUAGCAGAAUAAAAAAACAAAAAAAAGGACUUUUUCUUCUGGACUGAACUAUAUUUAAAUCUCAAAGGAUGGACAUCUCACAACCUUCCUACAGCAAGUACUGUGAGCCAUGUAAAGGUGUGCUGCUUUCCCUUUGCCUUCCGCCAUUAUUGAAAGUUUCCUGAGGCCUCCCCAGCCAUGCUACCUGUACGACCUGUGAAACCAUAAGCCAAUUAAAAAAGAUACUAGCGCCAGUCUGGCAGGGGCCUUUUCUAGUCUCAAGCACGCUGAGCAGUCCUACACCUUGCCUUCUGAGAGAGAAGAGGACAGUCCUCAGCCUCCUGAAGCCUGGCAAGGGUGCCUUAGUGAGGACAUCACCUGCAACUCCCAGAUGGAUAGACGAGGCCAUGGAGAGAGGAGAACACCAACCCAUGAGUGACAAGUGCCUGUCAUUGUCAAUGAUGCUGCAAGCACCACGAUGCCCCUUCUUAGCAGGGACCCAGUGGGCCUUACCAGCUUCAUUAUUUUCUAGGCAUGAUCGCAUCCUGUCUCCCAUUUUUGCUAAAAUUCUAUCUAGAGAAAGAGCUCAUUUUUAGCUAAAAAAAAAAAAAUCCUGUUUUAUCUGCUAAAAAAUCACAUAAAAUAACUAUUGGACUGUUUGAAAUGGCGUGGCCUCUGCUCUGACUUAUUAACUGUGAUCUUGACUAAGUUAAGCAGUCACUCUGACCUUACGUUACUCCCUCAAAUUUGAAUAAAAAUAGCAACUUCCUCUACUUAUAAAUUACUUCUAAAAAUUAGAUUCUUGAGAUUCAAAGAUAGGUAAUACCUGCCUUCAAGAAACUAACUCUCAAGGCUGCUGUAUGGAAAUCCUGCCUCCUAACUAGAUUGCACUCUUCUAAAUGCUGUACUACUGCUAUACACAUUCUCCAAAUCAAGUUAAUUUCAAAGUCUUGCUGAAUCUACUUUUUAGAAAUAUCUAAGUCAUGUGUACGUCUUUCCAUUCCUGCAUCCCAGGGGAUUGCAGCCAUCAGCUCACCUCCUCUCCUAAUCCAAAAUGUUCCUAACUGGUCUCCUGCCUUGCCUUUCUCCUGAUCACUUCCUACAACAGAGUGAUCGUGACUUGAAAUGCAAAUUAUAUUGUAUGAGUUAUCUCCCAAAAACAUUCAGCUGCCUAGCUCCCUUAACAUGAAGUCCAAAUUGCCCUAACAUGGAGUCCAAAUUUCGUUAGCAUGGUUUAAGAGUCUCUUCAUGAACAAAAGGCUUCUGUCUUCUCCAGUCAUACCCAAAUCUUUCCUAAUCAAAAGCCAUUUUUAUCAGUUUAAGAACAGAGACAGUUGUUCCAGAUAUAAGGAAGAGCAUUGGCAAAGUUGCAGAUAAUAAUUUAGGUGAGUGUGAUUCAGAGAUCUCAUUAGUGAUGCCUCAGAAUGACUAGGAGACAUGGAUAAAAGGAUAACAAGAAAGAAAAGGAGACCACAAAACCACAGUCCAGAUUGUAGGAGGCUUGGGUUGUGGUAAUGAGCUGGGACUUCUCUGCUGGCUAUCAGGAGUCCUCAUCUAUGAUCUGCUAGAAGAAUAUCAUGAUUAGAACUGCAUUUUAGAAAGUUAAGUCUAGUGGCUGCAGAGCAUACAUAUAGAAGGUAGAGCUUUGAGUCCACAAGAACAUUAUGGUUUAAUAAAACUCUGUGAGAGAGAUUAGAGCACAAACAAAGGCAGUCAUAAUGGAAAUGGAAAGAAAGUUAAAGGCUAAAGACUCCAGAGACAUUUUGAAAAAUGUGGGAAAUUAGGAGAGGAGCUGCAUCAAUCAGGACAUCAGUGUUACUGAUUUGCGAGACUAGGGAAUUAGGAUGUUCUUGAUGAAAGUGAGCAAAGGAAUUUUGCAGAGAUCAGAGUAGAACUUUUUUUUUUCCCUGAAAGCAUUCUGAAAACUGUAAACACCCUACUGCAUAAGAUAUCAUCAUCAUUAUUACUAAGCAGUCCUAUGUUAAUAGCCCUUUGGGUCUAGAGCUUGAAUUAUGCGCUAUACCUUGUACUUGAAAGAAACUAUAUCCUGACUAGUCCAGAUGGAUAUUACUUAACCUGCUUUAAGAUCCUCUAGGGAGGAACAACCACAACAAAUCCAAGAAAGGUCCCCUUCCUAGCAACUGUGCAUCCUUCCAGCUGCCUUAUCAAUGAUAUCAUCCCUUCGAUAUGUUACAGAGUCCAUUUGGACAAUUUUUAAAGGGACUCAUGACAUUCUGGUAAAAGAGAAUUAUGAUUUCUGGACUCUUUAAAAUUCAAAUGUAGGGGGAAAAAAAGCAAGUCUUCUGUUUGAUCAUAAAAGCUAUAAAGAUGCAAAGAGAGAAAGGUCCAUUCUAGCAUUUCAAUAAUAUCUGUUUUCACUGAAAACCUGAGCUGACUUUAAUCAUCUACACUUCAGACUGGGCUAAUACCUCAGAAAGCUGCAAAUACUGUGAACGCUGUCACACUAGCACAAAGCCUUUGCAAAAAUUUCCCCAAAAUACACAGAUUAAAAAGCACAUUUUCUCUCUCUCUGUUUUCCUCUCUCUCUCUCUCUCUCUCACACGCACACACACAUACACAUGCA
rnacentral:lncRNA from 1 species